CUGGAAGUACUCAUUACUAGCCUUGGAAAUGCUAUGGGAAAUGACAGUACACAGUAGGUGAACAUAGGAAAAGAAAGUAUGCUAAUUCAGAGCAUUUGGCAGAAUGUGAGAAAAAAAAUAUAUUCGUGGCAGAGGAUGUUUUUGCAAGCACAUCAUAUCACACUGUUUUCUUCUAAAGCAGCUUCAUCUCUAUUUCAACCGAAGCCAGUAAUUAAAUUGUACAGCUGGAAGAAAAUUCCAGGAAUACAAAUCUCUAGUGAAAAUCAGAGUUCAAUGCCCCCUCUGUCUCUCCUGCUGACUUAUCAAGG
rnacentral:lncRNA from 1 species